rnacentral:rRNA from 1 species
AACGAACGCUGGCGGCAGGCCUAACACAUGCAAGUCGAGCGAGGACUUCGGUCCUAGCGGCGGACGGGGGAGUAACGCGUGGGAACGUGCCCUUUGCUUCGGCAUAUCCCUGGGAAACUGGGAGUAAUACCGGAUGAGCCCUUUGGGGGAAAGAUUGUUCGGCGAAGGAUCGGCCCGCGUUGGAUUAGGUAGUUGGUGGGGUAAUGGCCUACCAAGCCGACGAUCCAUAGCUGGUUUGAGAGGCUGAUCAGCCACACUGGGACUGAGACACGGCCCAGACUCCUACGGGAGGCAGCAGUGGGGAAUCUUAGACAGUGGGGGAAGUGCUGAUCGAGCCAUGCUGGGUGAGCGAUGAAGGCCGUAGGGUUGUAAAGCUCUUUAAGCUGGGAAGAUAAUGACGGUACCAGCAGAAGAAGCCCCGGCUAACUCCGUG